GAGAGAGAUCAUCAGCGGCCGUUUUACGCCUCACUGCAAACCGAGUGCUCUGACGGUGUUUUUCGAAGAGAAAAACUUAAAAAAAAAUUGUAUGGUACUAUUAACUUUCAAUAAUGGUAUUGCGUGUGGUAUUUUUUGAAACGGUGUUAUACAUAGACCAACAUCGCAAAUCUGGCACUGGCAUCGCGAUUCGUUCCAUCAGUCGGCUAUAAUCGACAACACACUUCGGUUUUUUAAUAAUUUUUUGCGUGCGAUAAUGACGUUUCGUGUCAACCUUCAUUGUGGAAAAAGGACAACGUAUACACUGUCCUAUUGUUACACCAUUUUAUUGUUAAUAAAAGGCUUGAGAGGCAUCUGACGCAGAGCGACUAUAGCCGCGACUAUGGUACGUCAGUGGCAUCUUAUGCAGAGCAAUUGUAGUCGCCCGUAGUAGCGAAAGGAUGGACAAUUCGAGUAUCUUCUUUGAAGUUUCAGUAAAAAAUGAAGUCGUCCUAGUCCUUUCUGGUUGGAAGUGGAAGGACAGAAGAAUAUUAGCAAGAUUCAGAUGUGGAAACGAGACCAAAGCAAGGGAAUACUGGAAAGAAGA